GGUAUUUUAAUGCUCUUCAAUAAUAUGUGAUGAAUUUUUUCAAAUCAUAUAUGGUUCGUACAUGAAUCACAAGAGUUUUCAGAAACCUAGCUGUAGAGUAAAAUGGCCACUAAUGGCUGUAAUACCUGCAUGCUGUUAUUCUUUCAAAAAUCAUGAACUUUUUUUGUUUCAAUCUUAUUCUACCCUUCUUAUUGUGUUUCUUUUAUGUUCAGGUCACAUGUUACCAAGAAAACAGAGGACUAGGGACAACUGGAGUCGGAGAAUAUGAGUUUGGCAAGGGCAAUGAAAAAAAUAAGCAUUUAAGCAAAAGGGCAAUGAAAAAAGAG
rnacentral:lncRNA from 1 species